rnacentral:rRNA from 1 species
UAGAGGAAGUAAAAGUCGUAACAAGGUUUCCGUAGGUGAACCUGCGGAAGGAUCAUUAACGAGUUUUGAAAGGGGUUGUCGCUGGCCUUUCGCGAGGCAUGUGCACACUCUGCUCAUCCACUCUCAACCUCUGUGCACUUAUUGUAGGUCGGUGGAAGGCUCGCAAGAGCUGGAAGCCUGCUUAUGUUUUACUACAAACGCUUCAGUUAUAGAAUGUUUACUUGCGUAUAACGCAUUUAUAUACAACUUUCAGCAACGGAUCUCUUGGCUCUCGCAUCGAUGAAGAACGCAGCGAAAUGCGAUAAGUAAUGUGAAUUGCAGAAUUCAGUGAAUCAUCGAAUCUUUGAACGCACCUUGCGCUCCCUGGUAUUCCGGGGAGCACGCCCGUUUGAGUGUCAUGGUAUUCUCAACCUUCCUCACUUUUGUGACUGGAAGGCUUGGAUGUGGAGGUCGUGCGGGCUCUCGCGAGUCGGCUCCUCUGAAAUGCAUUAGCGUGAACGUUUACGGAUCGCUAUCAGUGUGAUAAUUAUCUGCGCUGUUAGUGUUGAAGUAUUGCUUAGUGUCGCGCUUCUAACCGUCCUUCAGUUGGACAACUUAUCUGACAUCUGGCCUCAAAUCGGGCGGGACUACCCGCUGAACUUAAGCAUAUCAAUA